GCCCUCGGUGGCUCAGAUGGACAGAGCGUCCGCCAUGUAAGCGGGAGACCCCGGGUUCGGGUCCCGGUCGGGGCA